ensembl:lncRNA
CCUACUCAUUCAAGGGUUUUCUUUAUUUUUAACACCACACGGGCUAUUUGACCAAGGAGAGUGAUGUGCUGCAUCAGAUGACCUGGCCUCCACAAUCACCUGCCCUCAACCCAAUUGAGAUGGUUUGGGAUGAGUUGGACCGCAGAGUGAAGGAAAACCAGCCAACAAGUGCUCAGCAUAUGUGGGAACUUUGUGUAAGAGCCGUUUGAAAAGACCAUUGAAAUUUCGUCUUGUUUUGGUGGGAUUAAGUUUUGGCCUGCCUGGUUACAGAACCAUAAAUGGUAGGUGAUGGCGCUGAGGGAGAGGACGAUGGUGCCAGGACCCACAUCCCCCAGGGCACAGGCGUUGGGACAGGCAUAGAGACUUUCCACCCAGAUCUGCAAGGGGAUGUCUCCACCAAAGUGUUGGGCCUACAGUGGAGCACUACUGUACUCUAGGUGUACUCUAGGACUAGGUAAAGCUGAUGUCAGGGGGUAGGUGUACUCUAGGACUAGGGAAGGCUGAUGUCAGGGGGUAAGUGUACUCUAGGACUAGGGAAAGCUGAUGUCAGGGGGUAAGUGUACUCUAGGACUAGGGAAAGCUGAUGUCAGGGGGUAAGUGUACUCUAGGACUAGGGAAAGCUGAUGUCAGUGGGUAAGUGUACUCUAGGACUAGGGAAAGCUGAUGUCAGGGGGUAGGUGUACUCUAGGACUAGGGAAAGCUGAUGUCAGGGGGUAGGUGUACUCUAGGACUAGGGAAAACUGAUGUCAUGGGGUAAGUGUACUCUAGGACUAGGGAAAGCUGAUGUCAGGGGGUAGGUGUACUCUAGGACUAGGGAAAACUGAUGUCAUGGGGUAAGUGUACUCUAGGACUAGCGAAAGCUGAUGUCAUGGGGUAAGUGUACUCUAGGACUAGGGAAAGCUGAUUUUAGUGUUGAGC